AAUGACUGCAUUUAGGCACUGAAAGACUGAACCUCCUAAUUUCUUGCUGACAUCAAUUGGUUCCACAGUGGAGAGGCACACUUGUGACCUGGGCAUUCGUGCACAAAUGUAGAGAAUGAUCCAUACAGUUCUGGUUCUUUCACUCUUCCUGUGGUAUUGACCUUUUGUAAAUCUUUAUAUAUCCCCAUAGUUUACCAUCUGUUAAGACUCUAAAAGCAUAAAAAGGUUAUUUCUGUAUGGAAAGGUCAUUUGUAUGAACAACAGCAGGAAAAGAACAACUGUGUCUGCAUUGUAAAAUGCAGGAUUCGAAGUGAGAAUGCCUAACAGAAAGUUUCAUUCGCCCUCCUUUAGUUUGGAUCUGCACAUAGUAAGUCAAAUUUAAAGUAAUUCUUUCAUUUGUGUAUUUAAAAGCAGAAGCCCGGGCUGGGAAG